rnacentral:lncRNA from 1 species
GCCCGCCCCAGGCUCCGCUCGGCAGCGCAGAGCGGACGCGCAGCCUGAUCGCUUGGGGGGGGGUUCCCGGCGCAAUAAAAGGCUUUUAAGGGAGCAGCACCCGGCUCGUCCCAGGAGAAAGGCGGCAGCAGGUUGUUUUCCAGUUCCCCCGCCGGCUCGUACCCGCGUAUGUCACGCGGCCGCGGAGCUCGCUGGCGGAAAACUCGCCGGAAAAGUUUCCUCUCUUUGGGGCUGCGGGCCGGCCUGGAGCUGCCGCUGUGCCCCUACGGCUGCUGCUGCGGGCUCCGUGCCGAAGGAGAGCGGCCCCGGGCUGCGAGCGGGACGGUGCGGGGCAGCCUUCGGGGCAGGCCGGGGAAAGUGUUCAAUAAUCCUGAUGAGGGUUGCACAGCUGAGUGCUGUUGCAGCACUACUUCAGAGGAGCACAUCUCUGAAUACUUAUGGAGCCUUGUCCUACAGGCAGAAGUACGUUAACAAGUUUUAUGCUCCUGAAAAAGUGAAAAAUUAUUGGAGGCAGUAGGAGUGCAAGGAGCACAGCUUUAAAAGAUGAGAGCAAUGAGGAUGGUAGAGGAAGAACACAGAAAUCUCCAGAGACACAGGUUGAAUGGUAAAGAUGUCCUGGAAGAAAAGAAUCAGGUUUGAAACACAAAACCUGGUUAUAUAAAACCUGUCCCAGAAGUCUUAUUACAGAAAGCUACCCAUCUCCCGUCUGGUCCCAGGUAAUAUACCAGUCCAGUCCUAUUUCCUACCGUCAAAUGAAAAGUAAUGACUGCACAUGUUGCAGUCUUCAAUUUAUUUAGUUCUCAAUAAGUACAAUCUAAGAGGUACUGAUGAUAUUUCUUAGCUAAUUGCUCACUGCAUGUUGUCUGGACACUGGAAGCUGUUACUUUAGGAGUGUGCAGGACAGAAGGAUCUCUCUGCAAAUGCCUUGUCCUCUGAACAUGUCCUUUUGAAAACUGUUCCUGCUACUUUCCUACAGAAGUUCUUUUCAUGCAGAAAAGAAGUUAAAGAACUUAUCUUGAGAUGAAAGAAAAGCAAAGCUACUGUAAAAGGUCACAACUUAAUCUGUGCAUACUAAACAAAGCGUAGUCUGGAACAACCUGAAUAAUGCACAUUCUUCCCUGGAGAUAUUGAGGAUCUGUGUGUAUGGAUCAGAAGACACAGAGUCCCCAGGGAUGUUUCUUUACUCAUCAAGCUUCUUUUGCAUAAUACCCUGGCUGUUACUAGAGUCAGGAUCUUUAAGUAGAUCUUUGUUCUUAAUUUUUCUUAAGUAAGCAGUGGUAAUUUUCAUCAAAUCCAAAGCUCUCCAUAAGGGAAAAGGUGGAAAAGAUCAAGAUACCAUGGAGUUCAAGUUCUGAUUCUUGACCAAAGCUGGAAGCAUUCCUGCUUCCAGCAAACUGUUCUUUUCUGCUUCUUAAAAGGAUAUCAUAUUGUUUGCUGUGAAUCAAAGUUUGUCCUGGAAUCAGCAUGAUACAGUUGAUGUUGUAUUGAUGUUUUAGCUCUACUGAUCAUUUUGCUUCAUUAUAUCGACACCUCUGCAUUCUUCUAAGAUCCUAAAGAAGAUAAAAUGGAAGCUCUUGUCUUUUUUAUGUUCUGUGCUGGAUACUUGAUCAUGUGAACACUUUUCUUCCUUUGUCACAGGUAUUCAUAUAACACUUCCAGAUGCUUGUAAUUCACAGGCACAGGAGCUUCUGCUUUCACCCCCCUCUCCCCCCACCCCCCCACUUUCAGUGCAAUAGAUGUUUUGAAAGGCUCUUCAACAGUGCUAUUUUAGUAUGGUAAGUUAUCAUAUUUCAGUCACCAAAUCCUUUUUUGAAAACCACCCCAUGAAAUUCACGGGAAUUCAUUAGAAUAUGUGGCCUAAAACACAUGAGCAAACUCUUGGCUUGGAUAGUGAAAGCCUAUGAUGUCAGAGGAUGUUCAGUGCAGUCUGAAAGAGUGCUGAUUCUUUGUACUUUUUUAGGCCCUAGGACAAUCAAGAUAUGGGCUAAUUUAAAACAACAUUAAGUCAUCAGCUUAAAAUCAAAUUUUAUUCUUUAAAAAAGAAGGGCUGAGAAGAAUCAUAGGUAAUAACAUAUUAUCUGCCAACUUAUUGGUCAUAACAGAUUAAGAUGUGAUUUCUGCCUAUUAUUUUAUUAAUUGUCCACGCAAAGUUAGCAUAGGCUUUAUGAGACUCCUAAUGCAGAAGAAAUACAGCAUCAUAUAAUAUAGCACUGUGAAUUAUGUCAAAGAAUUUUCUAGCAUACUGACAUUUCUAUUACUUUAAUUCUGCUCUUGGAUUCUUACUGAAAGAAUCACAAUUAAAAGUGAGUCUACAUUUAAUUUUUUUCUCUCAGAAUAUAAACAUUCCAUUAAACAUUCCAUUAAAUAUUUAUCUUUUUUUUGUCUGUCUCUCUCCAGAACAUCUGUUAAUUGAA